GCUGGGUAUGAUGGUACAUGUUGAUGCUAUUGGAAAGGUGGAGGCUGGUGGAUCUCUUGAGCUUGGGAGUUCUGAGCUUUAAUAAGAUUAAAGCUAACUGGUUGUCUGCACUAACCUCAGCACCAAUAUGAUGAGCCUCCCUGGGAGUGUGAGGGAGAUACCGAGCUGCCUAAGGAGAAGAGAAUUGGCCCAGGCCAGAAAUGGAACAGGUCAAAGCUUCUGUGCUGAUUGGCAGUAGGAUUAAACCCAUUAGGGAAUGCAAUACUUCUAGCCUAGGCAAGAUAGAGACCCAGGGUUUU
rnacentral:SRP_RNA from 1 species